rnacentral:rRNA from 1 species
CCUACGGGAGGCAGCAGUAGGGAAUAUUGCUCAAUGGGGGAAACCCUGAAGCAGCAACGCCGCGUGGAGGAUGAAGGUUUUCGGAUUGUAAACUCCUUUUGUUAGAGAAGAUAAUGACGGUAUCUAACGAAUAAGCACCGGCUAACUCCGUGCCAGCAGCCGCGGUAAUACGGAGGGUGCAAGCGUUACUCGGAAUCACUGGGCGUAAAGAGCGCGUAGGCGGGAUAACAAGUCAGAUGUGAAAUCCUAGGGCUUAACCAUAGAACUGCAUUUGAAACUGUGAUUCUAGAGUAUGGGAGAGGUAGGUGGAAUUCUUGGUGUAGGGGUAAAAUCCGUAGAGAUCAAGAGGAAUACUCAUUGCGAAGGCGACCUGCUAGAACAUAACUGACGCUGAUGCGCGAAAGCGUGGGGAGCAAACAGGAUUAGAUACCCCUGUAGUC